rnacentral:lncRNA from 1 species
CAUCUAUAAGGCUCAUGAACGGGUGAUAUGUGGAUGGUGGUUAUAGAUGAAUGUAUCGUGGAUGGGUUUCUCAUGGAUAGUGUGUCGUGGAUGGUGUCUCGUGAAUAGUGUAUCGUGGAUGGAUUUUUCGUGGAUAGUAUGCUGGGUAGUUCAUGGAUGAAUAUAUAUCGUGAAGAGUAUAAACAGAAGUUGAGGAAAAACAAGUUACUCACAAUAAAAAAUAUUAAAAAAACAUGGAAUUAUUAAAAAACAGAGCUUUUGUGUGGAGAGUAUAAACAUAUGCUCAAUCUCCAUCGCUUUCCACUGUUCACCAUCUCUUUCACUAUAGCUUCCAAGAUAACAAGCUCUGACGAAAACUUUAAAUUCUUCACCAACUUUCUCAACCUUUGCAACCCAUUAAUUACACUCCAUAAAGCAUGUUUUCUUCUAGCUGUUGAUCUACUUUCAUCAAAAUGAUCCGACGUACACGAUCAAUUCAC